ACACAUGCAAGUCGAGGGGCAGCAUAAUGGAUAGCAAUAUCUAUGGUGGCGACCGGCGCACGGGUGCGUAACGCGUAUGCAACCUACCUUUAACAGGGGGAUAACACUGAGAAAUUGGUACUAAUACCCCAUAAUAUCAUAGAAGGCAUCUUUUAUGGUUGAAAAUUCCGAUGGUUAGAGAUGGGCAUGCGUUGUAUUAGCUAGUUGGUGGGGUAACGGCUCACCAAGGCGACGAUACAUAGGGGGACUGAGAGGUUAACCCCCCACACUGGUACUGAGACACGGACCAGACUCCUACGGGAGGCAGCAGUGAGGAAUAUUGGUCAAUGGACGCAAGUCUGAACCAGCCAUGCCGCGUGCAGGAUGACGGCUCUAUGAGUUGUAAACUGCUUUUGUACGAGGGUAAACGCAGAUACGUGUAUCUGUCUGAAAGUAUCGUACGAAUAAGGAUCGGCUAACUCCGUGCCAGCAGCCGCGGUAAUACGGAGGAUUCAAGCGUUAUCCGGAUUUAUUGGGUUUAAAGGGUGCGUAGGCGGUUUGAUAAGUUAGAGGUGAAAUUUCGGGGCUCAACCCUGAACGUGCCUCUAAUACUGUUGAGCUAGAGAGUAGUUGCGGUAGGCGGAAUGUAUGGUGUAGCGGUGAAAUGCUUAGAGAUCAUACAGAACACCGAUUGCGAAGGCAGCUUACCAAACUAUAUCUGACGUUGAGGCACGAAAGCGUGGGGAGCAAACAGGAUUAGAUACCCUGGUAGUCCACGCAGUAAACGAUGAUAACUCGUUGUCGGCGAUACACAGUCGGUGACUAAGCGAAAGCGAUAAGUUAUCCACCUGGGGAGUACGUUCGCAAGAAUGAAACUCAAAGGAAUUGACGGGG
rnacentral:rRNA from 1 species